UACGUAGGGGGCAAGCGUUGUCCGGAAUCAUUGGGCGUAAAGAGCGCGUAGGCGGCCCUGUAAGUCCGCUGUGAAAGUCAAGGGCUCAACCCUUGGAUGCCGGUGGAUACUGCAGGGCUAGAGUCCGGAAGAGGUGAGUGGAAUUCCUGGUGUAGCGGUGAAAUGCGCAGAUAUCAGGAGGAACACCUGUGGCGAAGGCGGCUCUCUGGGACGGUACUGACGCUGAGACGCGAAAGCGUGGGGAGCAAACAGG
rnacentral:rRNA from 1 species